UGUGAGUCCGUGGGGUUUGGAUCAUCUCGCGUGGGAAAUCCCUCAGUACUCUGCUCAUUUCACUGACAGGCAGCUCAUGCCUCCGCAUGACAAAACAGAGACAGACCCUUUGCAAAGCAUGAUGGAGGAGGAUGUUCUGAUCCUGAUCCAAAUUUUUCUCACAAUAACGUCAUCUGACUGGUUUAGCCCUCCAGAUGGGACAGGCUCUUACAUCCAGCACAGGGAUAUGAUGUAUAAGCAUCUAGAAACCACUUUUUUGUUAGUUCAAGGCAAAACCUGCUCCCAUCCUCCUCAGUUUUAUAUGUGUUUAAUUCCAGUGAUCCAGUUUCUGCAUGGCAUUAACCAUCGCCACACUUGAGUCUUCCCAGAUGAGGAGCUAUUUCAUACCUUCCAGCUGAAAGACACCUGACUUAGCAGGCAAAGUUCCUCUGUCUGGUUCAGCACCUGGUCACACCAAGUUUUCCUGGCACAAAUGAGUGGAAAGAACACUUUGGCACGGAGGGAAAUGAGCCACAGAGGGCAAAAGAUAUCUUGGCAGACACUUCCAAUCUAUGCCCUUAUCUCCCAGUCUCCAGCCAUCUUCAAAGGUUUUCCAGCUUCUCGUGUUUUGCAAGUGGGCCCUGCAGCCCACUGGUGUUGAAAAUGUGUGAAUGAAUAGGAUCAUCGGAGUUGAAU